ensembl:miRNA
UGAGGGCCCCUCUGCGUGUUCACAGCGGACCUUGAUUUAAUGUCUAUACAAUUAAGGCACGCGGUGAAUGCCAAGAGAGGCGCCUCC